rnacentral:tRNA from 1 species
GGAGAGGUGGCUGAGCGGUCGAAAGCGGCGGUCUUGAAAACCGCUGACCCGCGAGGGUCCGGGGGUUCGAAUCCCUCCCUCUCCGCCA